UUUUUCUCUCUUCACUGCAGGAGCUGAGUAUUGGCAUUUCUCCCACAGCAUCAUUCCUUGUUGUUUUCUCUCAAGCAAAAACAACAAAAAAGGAAGAUUAAAAGGAAGAAGCAGACAGAUUUGAAAGAGGAUUGUUAGCGCCAAGAGUCAACUGUGGAAGCCAACAGGAAGAAAUGCAUUCUGUUGAUUUAGCUGACCCCAGGAGAAGACAUCAUCCCUGACAUCCAAUUGAGACUGAGACAGUGGAAUUAAUCGUCAGCUAUUGCUCUCAACACCGGACAUGGACAGUGUGCAAAAGCAGAGCUCACUGUUGACUCUGCCCUAAGACAGCAUGCAAGUGGGAGCUGUAUUUGGAGACUGCUUCAGCUGCUCUGGGCUUCAGCAGUGAGCAGAGGUGAUGCCCCUGUUCUCCGCUGUCAACUUGAGCAAGGAUUUCCCCUUCUGGCUACGGAAGAAAACAUCAUUACCUGGGGUUUAAUAAAGACAGCUGUCUGAAUA